UAGAUACCCUGGUAGUCCAUGCCGUAAACGGUGGGCACUAGAUGUGGGGCUCUUUCCAUGAGUUCCGCGUCGCAGCUAACGCAUUAAGUGCCCCGCCUGGGGAGUACGGCCGCAAGGCUAAAACUCAAAGGAAUUGACGGGGGCCCGCACAAGCGGCGGAGCAUGCGGAUUAAUUCGAUGCAACGCGAAGAACCUUACCAAGGCUUGACAUAUACGGUUUAUCCCUAGAGAUAGGGAGUCCUUCGGGGCU
rnacentral:rRNA from 1 species